UACAGAGGUCUCAAGCGUUGUUCGGAUUCAUUGGGCGUAAAGGGUGCGUAGGCGGCGCGGUAAAGUCGGGUGUGAAAGCCCCCGGCUCAACUGGGGAGGGUCACGCGAUACUGAUCGACUCGAAGGCAGGAGAGGGAAGUGGAAUUCCCGGUGUAGUGGUGAAAUGCGUAGAUAUCGGGAAGAACACCCGUGGCGAAGGCGGUUCUCUGGGACGGUACUGACGCUGAGACGCGAAAGCGUGGGGAGCGAACAGG
rnacentral:rRNA from 1 species